AUUGAACGCUGGCGGCAUGCUUUACACAUGCAAGUCGAACGGUAACAGGCCGCAAGGUGCUGACGAGUGGCGAACGGGUGAGUAAUGCAUCGGAACGUGCCCAGUCGUGGGGGAUAACUACUCGAAAGAGUAGCUAAUACCGCAUACGAUCUAUGGAUGAAAGUGGGGGACCGUAAGGCCUCGCGCGAUUGGAGCGGCCGAUGUCAGAUUAGGUAGUUGGUGGGGUAAAGGCUCACCAAGCCAACGAUCUGUAGCUGGUCUGAGAGGACGACCAGCCACACUGGGACUGAGACACGGCCCAGACUCCUACGGGAGGCAGCAGUGGGGAAUUUUGGACAAUGGGCGCAAGCCUGAUCCAGCAAUGCCGCGUGCAGGAAGAAGGCCUUCGGGUUGUAAACUGCUUUUGUACGGAACGAAACGGCUCUGGUUAAUACCCGGGGCUAAUGACGGUACCGUAAGAAUAAGCACCGGCUAACUACGUG
rnacentral:rRNA from 1 species